rnacentral:rRNA from 1 species
GUACCAGCAGCCGCGGUAAUACCGGCAGCACGAGUGAUGACCGCUAUUAUUGGGCCUAAAGCGUCCGUAGCUGGCCGUGCAAGUCCAUCGGGAAAUCCGCGCGCUUAACGCGCGGGCGUCCGGUGGAAACUGCAUGGCUUGGGACCGGAAGACCAGAGGGGUACGUCCGGGGUAGGAGUGAAAUCCCGUAAUCCUGGACGGACCACCGGUGGCGAAAGCGCCUCUGGAAGACGGAUCCGACGGUGAGGGACGAAAGCUCGGGUCACGAACCGGAUUAGAAACCCUCGUAGUCC